CCACGUUGAUGAUAUAAGCACGCGGUGUGGGGUUGACAAGGAUCCAUUCUCCAUCAGUUUUCCUCUUCACCUCGAGCCCAGGAACGUCGUCCUGAGCUAGGAUGGUGAGGACCCCGGUGUCCUUGUGUCGACCUAGACCAAGAGCCAGGUGAGGAGCAGGGCAGGCGGGGUAGUGGUUCAGCCUUACUCGACUAGUUUGGUCCUUGAAGAAGACGUUGAACCGAUCUUUUGGCAGCCCUAAGCUCAACGCGACCAGCUCCAGCAGCUUCACAGCUAGUUUCUCCAUCUCUACAGCGUGCUCCUCACAAGCUUCCCUAAAACAUUGUUAAUUUGCAAAUGCACUUCAACAUUAUUAAUCAUCAACAUCUCAAGACAUUCAUGCCAAUCCAAAUCUAUUUGCUGCUUUUCCAUGCAAACAAUCUCUGUCUCUGAUCUCAGACUGUCUAUAUAAAGAAACUCAUCAAUGCAUGUGCUCUACUUCACAUCCAAGAAAAAAUAAUUUAAAAAUUCAGGUGAAUCUAAAUUGUUCUACUUUCAAUAGGUGUUCACAAUAUAGCAUCUUUUGCCACUUUGUAAGAUAAUUUUUCAUGCAAAAAUCUACCUCUAAAAUUCAAACUAUCCAUGGAGAAAUCAACGCCUUACAUUAUAUAAAACCAAAACACCGCAAUAAAAAGGUGAUCAACUCACAAAAAUUUCGAGAGAGAGAAACACGAACCUCAAUUUAGGAAAAAACUGAGGCCACUUAUUGACUAAUUUCCUGAGCUCCAGAUCACCACGCUCGUUCCAAACCGGGAAAACGAUCGGAUUCUCGACGGCGAAAUCGAAGACUUCCUUCCAAUCUCUAACAUUCUUCGUGUGCUCUCCGUCGUAGUAUCCGAACGGAUUCGCGGCGUCUCUGCUAACCUUCAUCUUCUCCGAUUUCGGCAGCGCGAAGAACUUCCUCGACGCAGAUUCCACCUUUUCGCGGCAUUCCGGCGGCACACCGUGAUUGAUCACCUGGAAAAAACCCCAGUCCCGGCACGCGCGGCCGAUCUCCGCCGCCAGAGCCGACACGGAGUCGGGGUCCGCCGCGGAAUUCAGCGGCGACAGAUCAAUCAGUGGGAUGUUUUGCGCUUCGAUAGAGCGGGGUUUGGGCCGGUGCUCGACGGCUUGGAUGAAAGCAGAGUCGAAUUCCACCAUGGAUAAUUUUCAAAUGUUUGUAAUAAAUUCAUUGCCGUGAUCAUUUUAUUUGUUAUUCCUGAAAAUGCACUGCACCUGGACGUUAUUACGGAUUUUUUACGUGUUUUUUUCAUUAAUUUGUUUGUUUUUAUUUUAUUUUAUAGGGUUAAGUAUCAGAUUAGCCCCUAAGGUGGAGGCCCGCAUUGGGCCCCUUAUGGCAAGGGGUGUGUCAAAUAAGCCCCUAUGGUAAUUAAAAUCGAACAAAAUCACCCUUAGCCCUAACGGUGAGUUAACAGCCGUUAACUAUUUAAAAAAAAAAAAUCUUUGUCUACCAUGUGUUCGACGAAAUGACUGAGACUCGUCAACUCGCCGCAGCUCAGCCUCCUUAAUCCGGAGCCGCCGCUACCGCCACCACCGCUGCCGUCGUAGCCCCCGCUUCCUCCACCACCACUUCCGCCACCAACGACGGCGUCGUCACCAGCUCUAUACAUCGACGUGAGCACUCAACUCAGUUUCGGCGAAGAAAGCUGCUCCGGAUCCCAACCUGAUAACAACCUUGAGUUUCUCUCCAAUGUCGUGAUUCGGGACGUGAAUGAUGAAAGCGUGCUCAAAUGCUCUCCUAAUCUUCGCGAGCUCAAAUGCAAAUGCUUCCCCUUUGUGGCGGAGGAGACGGGGGAGCUCCGGUAUCCGGAUUUCGCCUUCUUUACGCAGCUGGAAUCGCUGCACUUGGAAGGUGGCUUCGNACAUUAUCGAGAACUCAGUUAUAUACAAUAUCAUAUCAACAACCGCACAGGAAAUGCUACACAAGCCGGAAUAUCGAGAACUAUUUCACUGAAAAAAUAACGACAUAACAUAUUCUUCUAGACCACAUUCUACACUUCAACACAAUAUCACAGCUGCGAUGUGAAGACUACGCUAUGCGUACCGUAAAUCAAACAAUCAUAACAAUACGCUACACCAAUAGCCAGAAACAAUGCCGAAAAGUUUAAUACUCAAACUCAGUGAAAGAGCAAGAAAGAGCGAAGCUAACCCUAAUUGAAAAUCCAAAUGACCGAGCAUAAACCCUAAUCUAGCUAGUAACGAGAAAGAGGGGAAAAAGACCUUCUUUCUUGACUUUCUCGUUGAUAUUCCGAAUGUAAAUUGUCUGGUUAGGAGGUAUAUCAGUUGUAAGCAUCUUCGCCGCCGUUCAAACUCGCCGCCGCUGUGUGUUAGUGACCUAUCCAAAGGAAGACGGUGGAAAAAGGCGCUUGAAAGAAAUUUUGACGGUGUGAGUGAGUGAGUAAAAAUAUAUAGUGGGCCGGAGCCAUAUAUUGGGCUUUCCCAUUUUAGUGUGCAAAAAAACUAAUGGAUUUAUAAAUGGGCCCGAUCUUAAACUGAUCGCAUGGCCGCAAUUCUACUUUUGUGCAAGUUAAAGUGACAAACUAUUUUUUGUUUUUGGAAGAUUGUCGUGGACUUGAACACACUGCAUGUAGAUUCAUGCAUUAACCACUCUGAUGUAUACAAAAAUAAUAUUCCAUCUGUAUCAUAAAAAUAUGCAUAAUUUUCUUUUUUCAUCCGUCCAUAAAAAUAUGCAUAGUACAUUUAUAAUAAUAAUUCUUCCAUUAAAUAUUACAAUUAAUAUGAGACCAUUUCUUCACUCACACUACACUUUACAAGAUUUCUUAAAACUCGUAUCGUCUGUUUUUAUAGAACGAAGGAAGUGUAUAGUUAAUUUUAUUCAAAUAUUAUCUAGUAUGAUGUUAUGGACUGUAGUCUGUAAGCGCGACGUAAGUGGCAUAGGUUGAGAUUCAUUGUCCACAAUUUGUUGUAUACUACCAUGCCCACCAUUAUAUUUAUAUUUCAAUAUAUUUGUUUAUAAAAAAAAAAAUUAUUACUCCCUAUCUAUCAAUAAGUAUAAUACUUUUGUCAUUUAUGGCAUUUAUUAAAAUUAUGACAAUUUUCUUUUUAGAACAUCACCUCACAUAUUUUCAUGAUUUUUUUUUAUAAAUACCCCUUAUUUAUAAAAUAAAUCACCCCAGACCCAUAUUUAAUUCAAUCUCAAUAACUCAUUUUAUACAAUGUUGAAAUCUUUCUCCAUUACAUAGAAAUCACCAACCAUUUUUUUUUUUGUGGACGAAAUGAGCAUGACAUUAUGAAUUAUACUUGAUUCAUAUUUCAAAAAUUGAAAUAAAAAAAUUAUAUACCCUUGAUUUGGAUUUAUGAACAUUAAUAAUGAAUUAUUAACUAAUCAAAUUCAAAUUAAAUUUUUAAAAGUAAUUUAUUCUCUAAUUAUAUGAAACAAACCCAAAUUAAUCAUUACAAAACUAAAAUAAAGUAUAUGCAAUUAAAAGUGGGAUAACAAAUAUGGUACAUUGUAUCUUAAGUGGUCAAAAAUGAAAUCAAUUCUCGAUGUAUUCACGAGGGAACUGAUGUAAGUAAUUUUUUACAAAAGUUCGUUUUAAAAAAUCUUGUGAGAAUUGUAAAUUCGAAUCAGCUUGUGAAAAUUCAAAUCCAAGGCUGCAUCAGAUUUAUGUGCCAUUUUACAUGCAGCUACAGUCAUUACUCAUUAGAGACAACAUCAACUCCAACCACUCAUUGCUUUAUUUCUUGUGAACAUAUCUCACAACACACACACACACACACAGAGUUAUACGAAGUAGAAUUGAUUCGAGAUCUUGUGUUACCAAUGAUACUUCAAAUCCUAAAAUGGGAUAUCUGGAUGUUGUCAACAUCAAGCUUCCCAAAAUUCCCUCGAUUUCGCGUGGCACGAAACUCUCCCCAGUUAUAGCCCUUGAACUUGGCAGGGUUAUCCUCACUGAUCAUCUCAAUCAGAGGCUCAACCAGUGUGUAAUGUGCAGGAUAAAAGAAAUAGGGGAUCGAAAAUCUCUCCUUCUCUUCAUUCACUAUCACUCUGUGCUCCACACUUUCAUACUCGUCGUUGCUCCAAACCUAUAUAUAUAGACACACUUCACAAACAAGAUCCAACCUCACAAAUGCAAUCACAAGUCUUACCUGGAGUAUAUCACCCACGUUGAUAUAUAAGCACGCGGUGUGGGGUUGACAAGGAUCCAUUCUCCAUCGUUUUCCUCUUCACCUCGAGCCCAGGAACGUCGUCCUGAGCUAGGAUGGUGAGGACCCCGGUGUCCUUGUGUCGACCUAGACCAAGAGCCAGGUGAGGAGCAGGGCAGGCGGGGUAGUGGUUCAGCCUUACUCGACUAGUUUGGUCCUUGAAGAAGACGUUGAACCGAUCUUUUGGCAGCCCUAAGCUCAACGCGACCAGCUCCAGCAGCUUCACAGCUAGUUUCUCCAUCUCUACAGCGU
rnacentral:lncRNA from 1 species